UACGGAGGGUGCGAGCGUUGUCCGGAAUCACUGGGCGUAAAGGGCGCGUAGGCGGCGCGGGAAGUCCGUGGUGAAAGCCCGAGGCUCAACUUCGGGUCGGCCAUGGAUACUCCUGGGCUUGAGCACUGUAGAGGCAGGUGGAAUUCCGGGUGUAGCGGUGGAAUGCGUAGAGAUCCGGAAGAACACCGGUGGCGAAGGCGGCCUGCUGGGCAGUAGCUGACGCUGAGGCGCGACAGCGUGGGGAGCGAACAGG
rnacentral:rRNA from 1 species